rnacentral:rRNA from 1 species
GACGAACGCUGGCGGCGUGCUUAACACAUGCAAGUCGAACGGAAAGGCCCUGCUUUUGUGGGGUGCUCGAGUGGCGAACGGGUGAGUAACACGUGAGUAACCUGCCCUUGACUUUGGGAUAACUUCAGGAAACUGGGGCUAAUACCGGAUAGGAGCUCCUGCUGCAUGGUGGGGGUUGGAAAGUUUCGGCGGUUGGGGAUGGACUCGCGGCUUAUCAGCUUGUUGGUGGGGUAGUGGCUUACCAAGGCUUUGACGGGUAGCCGGCCUGAGAGGGUGACCGGCCACAUUGGGACUGAGAUACGGCCCAGAAUGCUACGGGAGGCAGCAGUGGGGAAUAUUGCACAAUGGGCGGAAGCCUGAUGCAGCAACGCCGCGUGCGGGAUGACGGCCUUCGGGUUGUAAACCGCUUUCGCAUGUGACGAAGCGUGAGUGACGGUAAUGGGUAAAGAAGCACCGGCUAACUACGUG